UGACUGGAACACACGGUCACUUUCCAUCGUUCAGACCGUCUGCACCCUCACUUCCAUGGAAUUCAAUGCCGUAUUCCCAAAUACUUUUCUUCUCAAGAGUUGCAGAGACUUCCCCUAAUCCUUUUUUAGCUACAAACUUUUCUUCUGAAGAAUAUCUAAUAUUCUUAAAGAUCUGUUGCAGAGAGUUCCCUUAAUCAAUCCCUUGUUACCUACAAGAAAAGAAAAAAAAAACAUGGCUGGUUUUGUUGGAGAAGCCGUUUUGUCUGGGUUCAUUCAGAAGUUGGUCGACAUGGUCGCCUCGCCGGAGCUGUGGAAGUACGCACGUGAAGAGCAAGUGGAUUCUGAACUGAACGAGUGGAAGAAAAUAUUGAUGAAGAUCUACGCAGUGCUCCAUGACGCGGAGGACAAGCAGAUGACAAACCCCCUGGUGAAGAUGUGGCUACACGACCUCAGAGACUUGGCUUAUGAUCUGGAGGACAUCUUGGACGACUUCGCCACCCAAGCUUUGCGACGCAACUUGAUCGUGGCUCAACCCCAACCGCCCACUGGUACCGUUCGGAGCAUUUUAUCUUAUGUGUCUACUAGUCUCACUUUGAGUGCUGCUUGGUCCAAUUUAAGUAUGGGUUCCAAGAUAGAGGAGAUCACUGCCAGAUUGCAAGAUAUUUCAGCCCAAAAAAAGCACCUGGAUUUAAGAGAUGUUUCUGCUGGUUGGUCUGGUAGAAAGAGACUACGGAGACUGCCAUCCACUUCUUUGGUGAUUGAAUCUCGUAUUUAUGGCAGGGAGACAGAUAAAGCUGCCAUACUUGCCAUGCUGCUCAAGGACGAUCCAAGUGAUGAUGAAGUCUGCGUGAUCCCUAUCGUCGGCAUGGGAGGUAUAGGCAAAACUACUCUUGCUCAACUUGCGUUUAAUGACGAUAAAGUGAAGGAUCAUUUUGAUUUGCGAGCUUGGGUCUGUGUUUCCGAUGAUUUUGAUGUUUUGAGGGUGACCAAAACUAUUCUGCAAUCACUUUCUCCACAUACACGUUAUGCCAACAAUCUUAAUUUGCUUCAGAUUGAGCUCAGGGAGAAACUUUACCGGAAGAAAUUUCUUCUUAUCUUGGACGACGUUUGGAAUGAGAAUUUUGAUGAAUGGGAUAUUUUGUGCAUGCCGAUGAGAGCCGGAGCGUCAGGUAGUAAGCUUAUUGUCACAACCCGUAAUAAAGGGGUUGUAUCUGUUACCGGAACUUGUUCAGCUUAUCCCCUUCAGGAGUUAUCAUAUGAUGAUUGUCUAUCUUUAUUCACCCGACAAGCAUUAGGGGCAAGAAACUUUGAUGCUUAUCCACACCUGAAAGAAGUUGGAGAGGAGAUAGUCAGAAGGUGCAAAGGCUUGCCUUUGGCAGCAAAGGCGCUUGGUGGCAUGUUGCGCAAUCAACUAAAUCGCAGAGCAUGGGAAGAUAUAUUAACAAGCAAGAUAUGGGAUCUCCCGGAGGAGAAAAGUCAUAUUCUUCCGGCUCUCAAGCUAAGCUACCAUCAUCUUCCUUCUCAUUUGAAGCGGUGUUUUGCUUAUUGCUCGAUAUUUCCAAAAGACUAUGAAUUCCACAAAGAUGAAUUAAUCCUAUUAUGGAUGGCAGAAGGUUUUCUGCAACAAACAAAGGGAGACAACCAGCCUGAGAAGUUAGGUUGUGAGUACUUUGAUGAUUUAUUCUCAAGGUCAUUUUUUCAACAGUCAACUCAAAAUUCAUCCCAAUUUUUAAUGCAUGAUCUUAUUAACGAUCUAGCUCAAUCUAUUUCCGGAGACAUAUGCUAUAAUUUUGAUGAUGAGUUAGAGAAUAAUAAGCAAUCCACGGCUGUUUCAGAGAAGGCUCGUCAUUUGUCAUUCAAUCGUCAACGUUACGAGAUGAUGAGAAAAUUCGAAGCGUUUCAUAAGGCUAAGUGUUUGCGGACGUUAGUUGCUUUGCCACUCACUACAUUUUCUACAUAUUUCAUUUCAAGUAAGGUGCUAGAUGACCUUUUAAAAGAAAUGAAAUGUUUGCGGGUAUUGUCAUUAAGCGGUUAUUUCAUAAGUGAGAUGUUACCAAAUUCCAUAGGCGGUUUGAAACAUCUGCGCUAUUUGAAUUUAUCUGAUUCUUUGAUGAAUAGGUUACCCGAUUCAGUGGGUCAUCUUUAUAAUUUGCAAACACUGAUAUUACGCAAUUGCUAUAGACUUGUUGAGUUGCCUAUGGGAAUUGGAGGCCUCAUCAACCUUCGACAUGUUGAUAUUUCUGGUGCAGUUCAACUACAGGAGAUGCCCCCUCAAAUGGGAAACUUAACCAAUUUGCAAACAUUAUCCGACUUUAUUGUGGGCAAAGGUAGCAGGUCGGGUGUCAAAGAAUUAAAGAAUUUGCUGGGUCUCCAAGGAAAGCUUUCUAUUUCAGGGUUGCAUAAUGUGGUAGAUAUUCAAGAUGCAAGGAGUGUUAAUUUACAGAAGAAGCAGAACAUCAAAGAGUUAACACUGAAAUGGAGCAGUGAUUUUGGUGAAUCAAGAAAUAAAAUGAAUGAGAGGCUUGUUUUAGAGUGGCUACAACCUCAUAGAAAUCUGGAAAAGCUCACCAUUGCAUUCUAUGGUGGACCAAACUUUCCAAGUUGGAUAAAGAAUCCCUCAUUCCCUUUAAUGACACACUUGGUUCUCAAGAAUUGCAAGAUAUGCACAUCGUUACCGGCUCUCGGCCAAUUAUCCUUACUCAAAAACUUGCAUAUCGAAGGGAUGAGUGAAGUUAGAACCAUAGAUGAGGACUUUUAUGGAGGGAUUGUCAAGUCUUUUCCAUCCUUGGAGUUUCUGAAGUUUGAAAAUAUGCCAACAUGGAAAGAUUGGUUUUUUCCAGAUGCAGAUGAACAAGUGGGACCAUUUCCAUUCCUUCGAGAACUUACAAUAAGGAGAUGCUCAAAGCUAGGUAUACAGUUGCCUGAUUGCCUACCUUCUCUGGUUAAACUUGAUAUCUUUGGGUGUCCAAAUUUGAAAGUUCCCUUUUCAGGAUUUGCAUCUCUUGGUGAAUUAAGUUUAGAAGAAUGUGAAGGGGUGGUGUUCAGAAGUGGGGUUGGUAGUUGUCUUGAAACAUUAGCUAUUGGACGGUGUCACUGGCUUGUAACGUUGGAGGAGCAAAUGCUACCUUGCAAACUUAAAAUUUUGAAAAUACAAGACUGUGCUAACCUGGAGGAGCUGCCAAACGGAUUGCAAAGUCUCAUAUCUCUCCAAGAGUUGAAAUUAGAGAGGUGCCCCAAACUGAUUUCAUUUCCAGAGGCCGCUUUGUCACCCUUGCUCAGAUCUCUGGUGCUGCAGAACUGCCCAUCUCUCAUAUGCUUUCCAAAUGGUGAGCUGCCCACCACGCUCAAGCAUAUGAGGGUUGAAGAUUGUGAAAAUUUGGAGUCUCUACCAGAGGGAAUGAUGCACCACAAGUCCUCUUCCACUGUAAGCAAAAACACUUGUUGCCUUGAAAAAUUGUGGAUAAAGAAUUGUGCCUCUCUCAAGUUCUUUCCGACAGGAGAGUUACCCUCCACCCUUGAGCUCCUUUGUAUUUGGGGAUGCGCAAACUUGGAGUCAAUAUCAGAGAAAAUGUUACCCAAUGGCACAGCUCUUGAAUAUUUAGACAUAAGGGGCUAUCCAAAUCUGAAAAUCCUACCAGAAUGCCUUACAAGCCUCAAGGAGCUCCACAUAGACGAUUGUGGAGGUCAGGAGUGUUUUCCAAAAAGAGGGUUGUCAACCCCCAACCUCAUGCACCUUCGUAUUUGGAGAUGUGUGAAUCUCAGGUCCCUUCCACAGCAAAUGAAAAACCUCACAUCUGUUCACACUCUCAGCAUAUGGGGUUGUCCAGGAGUGGAAUCCUUUCCAGAAGGGGGUUUGCCCCCCAAUCUAACAUCACUUUACGUUGGAUUGUGUCAGAAUCUGAAAACACCCAUAUCUGAAUGGGGACUCCUUACCCUCACCUCUCUUUCUGAAUUGUCCAUUUGUGGAGUGUUUCCCAAUAUGGCUUCUUUUUCGGAUGAAGAGUGUCUGCUUCCUCCAUCUCUGACCUAUCUUUUCAUCAGUGAACUGGAAUCUUUAACCUCCCUGGCUCUCCAAAAUCCGAUGUCUCUUACUGAACUAGGUAUUGAGUGUUGCUGCAAGCUCAGUUCCUUGGAGUUGCCUGCAACACUUGGAAGACUUGAAAUCACUGGUUGUCCUAUUAUAAAAGAAAGCUGCUUAAAGGAGAAGGGAGGAUACUGGCCCAACUUCUCCCACAUCCCCUGCAUUCAAAUAGAUGGCUCAUACAUCCAUUGAAAGAUAGCAGACUCAGAUUGAAAUACAUUUUUCUCUUGUCAUGUCACUAAGUCUUUGAUGGUAUUUCAAGAAAUUGUUCAUUGUUGCUCACUUCAAAUUUCUAUCCAAACAUCACUCAUUCAACCACAGAGUGCCAUUAUGAACUGAAGCUAUGUAUAAACUAUCUUGAACGAGCUCAUUUUGAUUGAUAAUGUUAGUGUAGUUCUUGCUAAUUCUUUUCUUUCUAAUGUGACUGCCAAUUUUCAUUCUAAAUUCAUGGGGUUCUGGCUUGACAAGGAUGUUGCAGAGGUAAACAGGUAUGUCUCCCUGUUCAGAAUAUGUGGCUUCCCAUUUCAUUGGCCCCAUAUUGGUUUGGCCUUCAGAAAAUAAAUGAAAUUUCUUCUCAACAUGUAGGAUGAAAAAAAGAUGGUGAAUUUCUAUGACUGGUGCAAUUGAUUUUUAAUUUCUCACAAGAUUUUUCAUUGAUGUUUCAUUUAGAGGUGGAUAUCGACUGUAGUUAUGGCUUGGCAUUCUCUCUUUGCUUUUCAUGCUGCUCUUAAUCCUCUGUUUCACACAAACAGAGUCAUUUUUCUAGAUGAAGUAACGUUGGCAUUCUGUUGUUUUUGCAGUGUGAUUAACCCUAAUUUUACACAUAUACAGUCCCAUCCACAGAUCCAUGAAUUGUACUACAGGUUUAUUUGUGCAAGGUUAUACUGCUUUUGUUUUGAGUUCAAGCCAGUCUUAAGAAGAUUGGAAAGGGCAUUAAACAAACCUUCUGGCUGACUCUGGAUGUAUACUGUAGUAUCUUAAGAAAGGUGCCUACAUAUUUAUUGAUCACCUAAUCUCUGGUCCUUGGGCUGCCUGCAAUACUUAAAAGGCUUAGCACAGGUUGUCCUAUUCUAAAAGAAAUGUGCUUAUAAGAGAACUACAUUGCCCACAUCCCCUUUAUUGAUAUAGAUAUUAGAUAUAUCCAUUUACUGUCCCAGCCAUAUCCUCUCCUUGCUUCCAAUCAGGCACGGGCUUUCAUAUCAUAAAUAUUAGCAAUUUUCUUCAAACUCUACUUUCCCUACUCAAAAUAACAAAAGCAGAGACCACUCUUACUUAUUUUAAAUUGGGUAUGUUUUGCCAUGAUGUAGGUUUUGACAAAGGAAAGGGCUGCCUGCAACACUCCCAAUGCUUGAAUCAGGAAAUUUCAUAUUCUAAAAACUGAUGGUAAGAGGACGUGGGGAGAUUGCAUCUUUUGUAGGAGAGCAGGUUUGGAUUAGAAUGCCUCAGUGGUCUUGUAAGUCUGGAGAUCUGGUAGUGGAAUGGACUUGUACCCUUUGGACUUUGGAGCAGCAGGGCGGCUUGGCAAUCUUAAAUAUUUGCAAUUGGAAGACUGGGCUAACCAGAAAAAGCAGAAGACUGCAGUUUAGCCUCCAACCUUACAUCACUUUAUAUGGGAGAUCAUGUGAAUCUGAAGCUACCAUUAUCUGAGUAGGGCCUCCACAGGCUCACUUCUCUUUCAUCAUUUGUACAUUUCUGGUGUAUGUCCAGCUCUGGCUUCUCUAUCGGAUGAUGACUAUCUUUUUCCCACAACUCUGAGCAAAUUUUUUAUUCGUAAACUGGAUUCCAUCGCAUCUGUGGCUUUCAAAAACCUGCGUUCUCUUGAAACUAUAUCCAUCUAUAGGUGUCCUAAGCUCUGGUCCAAAGGGUUGACUGAAAAACUUUCGAGGCAUGACCUCAAUACUACGUGAUUACCUGCUUUCUUCAAGACCAUUUUGAGUAAGCAUGAUAAGUUAGUGCUUCAUUUUUUCUUUUAAUUUCUUCUUUCAGGUAAGAAGAGAAGAAUGAUGAAGUAAUUCAAUGCCAACAUUGAAGUGUAUGUCAAGCAUGAAUAUGUUACUUUUCAGUUAUAUAUUGAUUCUUUUUUCUUUUUUUUCAAUUUUCUUAUCUCAAGUAAAUUUUCUUUCUGCACCAAA